UACGUAGGGAGCAAGCGUUGUCCGGAAUCAUUGGGCGUAAAGCGCGCGUAGGCGGCCCGAUAAGUCCGCUGUGAAAGUCAACGGCUCAACUGUUGGAUGCCGGUGGAUACUGUCGGGCUAGAGUACGGAAGAGGCAAGUGGAAUUCCUGGUGUAGCGGUGGAAUGCGCAGAUAUCAGGAGGAACACCAAUAGCGAAGGCAGCUCGCUGGGACGGUACUGACGCUGAGGCGCGAAAGCGUGGGGAGCGAACAGG
rnacentral:rRNA from 1 species